UUGGUUCUCUGAUCAGCACCAUGGAGGCUGGCAAGAACAAGCGCCUUACGAAAGGCGGCAAAAAGGGAGCCAAGAAGAAAGUGGUUGAUCCAUUUUCUAAGAAAGAUUGGUAUGAUGUGAAAGCACCUGCUAUGUUCAAUAUAAGAAAUAUUGGAAAGACGCUCGUCACCAGAACCCAAGGAACCAAAAUUGCAUCUGAUAGUCUCAAAGGUCGUGUGUUUGAAGUGAGUCUUGCUGAUUUGCAGAAUGAUGAAGUUGCAUUUGGAAAAUUCAAGCUGAUUACUGAAGAUGUUCAGGGCAAAAACUGCCUGACUAACUUCCAUGGCAUGGAUCUUACCUGUGACAAAAUGUGUUCCAUGGUCAAAAAGUGGCAGACAAUGAUUGAAGCUCAUGUUGAUGUCAAGACUACCGAUGGUUACUUGCUUCAUCUGUUCUGUGUUGGUUUUACUAAAAAACGCAACAAUCAGAUACGGAAGACCUCUUAUGCUCAGCACCAACAGGUCCGCCAAAUCCGGAAGAUGAUGAUGGAAAUCAUGACCCGAGAGGUGAAGACAAAUGACUUGAAAGAAGUGGUCAAUAAAUUGAUUCCAGACAGCAUUGGAAAACACAUAGAAAAGGCUUGCCAAUCUAUCCUCUCCAUGAUGUCUUCGUUAGAAAAGUAAAAAUGCUGAAGAAGUCCAAGUUUGAAUUGGGAAAGCUCAUGGAGCUUCAUGGUGAAGGCAGUAGUUCUGGAAAAGCCACUGGGGAUGAGACAGGUGCUAAAGUUGAACGAGCUGAUGGAUAUGAACCACCAGUCCAAGAAUCUGUUUAAAGUUCAGACUUCAAUUAGUGUCAAAUAAAAAGUGCUGUAUGUGA